rnacentral:piRNA from 1 species
CAAGCUAAACGGAGGAACAUGGACG